UACGGAGGAUGCAAGCAUUAUCCGGAUUUAUUGGGCGUAAAGCGUCCGCAGGUGGUUGUUCAAGUCUGCUGUUAAAGCGCGAGGCUUAACCUUGUACAGGCAGUGGAAACUGAGCGACUAGAGUAUGGUAGGGGGAGCGGGAAUUCCCAGUGUAGCGGUGAAAUGCGUAGAUAUUGGGAAGAACACCAGCGGCGAAAGCGCGCUACUGGGCCAUUACUGACACUCAUGGACGAAAGCUAGGGGAGCGAAAGGG
rnacentral:rRNA from 1 species